GGUGGAUGCCUUGGCACAGGAGCCGAUGAAGGACGUAGGAGGCUGCGAUAAGCCUCGGGGAGCUGUC
rnacentral:rRNA from 1 species